rnacentral:rRNA from 1 species
GAUGAACGCUGGCGGCGUGCUUAAUACAUGCAAGUCGAACGAAGCGCCUCUCCCGAAGAUAGACCCAGCUUGCUGGGGAUUGAUUCACCUGAGGUGACUGAGUGGCGGACGGGUGAGUAACGCGUGGGUAACCUGCCUUAUACAGGGGGAUAACAGUUGGAAACGACUGCUAAUACCGCAUAAGCGCACAGUACCGCAUGGUACAGUGUGAAAAACUCCGGUGGUAUAAGAUGGACCCGCGUCUGAUUAGCUAGUUGGUGAGGUAACGGCUUACCAAGGCAACGAUCAGUAGCCGACUUGAGAGAGUAAUCGGCCACAUUGGGACUGAGACACGGCCCAAACUCCUACGGGAGGCAGCAGUAGGGAAUAUUGCGCAAUGGGGGAAACCCUGAUGCAGCGACGCCGCGUGAAGGAUGAAGUAUUUCGGUAUGUAAACUUCUAUCAGCAGGGAAGAAAAUGACGGUACUUGACUAAGAAGCCCCGGCUAAAUACGUGCCAGCAGCCGCGGUAA